AUCCAAAUAGCGUCCUUUCCUCAGAGUACGCUGGUAGCUGUGGAUCUCCAGCCACACUGUGGGAGUGUGGGUUCAUAUCCUGCUAUUGCUAGGCAGAUGACAUCACUCUUCUUUUCCAUAAAGAGUUGUUCCAUCUGUGCUGCUUGCUGAGCAAAACACACGUAUGUGGGGCCUGCAGAUGAAAUAUGCCUGCGAUGUGGGCCCAGGCCAAUUUCGUCUCUUAAAGGAAACAGCAACGCUAUUUAAGUGGUACCAAUAAAAUAACAUUUUAUCUUCCGAAUUUAAAAACAAUUCCCAAGCCUGCAUGGAAUCAACCCUUUCAAAUAGUUCAGGAAUCUGUUGUUAUGUCCUCUGAACAUAAUAGUUUCAUGUUUGGGAGUUGCUAGAUCUAACAGAAAAUAAUAGGGACUUUUCUAAUUGCUUGUAACCGGCUAGGCACUUAACAUUUAAUUCUCAUCAUAAGCCUUUUCUAACAAUGACAUGCUUCCCAUUUUAGGAGUGAUAAAAAUUAAAACGGAGGCUCAGAGAGGUUCAAUGAACUGUUUAGAGUAUUAAUACUGGAGCCUGAGCUUUCAUCUCUGGAAAUCUAAUCGUGAACCUGGAGUUCAUUCCACCCCUGCUCAUCAGAAAACAAUUAAUAGGUGAAAGGCAAAUGAGUAUUUUUGAUAACACAUUUUUUUAAAUAGGAUGACUUGCCAAAUCUCUUCUCUCUGGAAUGCUUCACAAUCUGCUCCUUCGAUUUUUUUUUUUUCCUUCUUGAAGGCAGGCUGGAGUAAUAGAAACACGCUCUUGGAGGGCUUUGAAGCACAAUAGUAUAUAAAGAUGUGACAGUGACUGCUAUCCUGAAAGCACAAACUAAAUCUCUAGCAGGGUUUGAUCAUCUCUGAGUCUAAGCUGGGAGAUAAGAGAUUUGUGACACUGGCAAUGCCGUUAAUUCUGGGACAGGGGUACUAAUACAUUUCCUUGUUCUGUCUGCCUUAAGGCUUUGUCCAAGAUACUCAGUGAAAAGAACCUCUUCUCUUUCAUAUUUUUGGGGAACUCCAAUUGAUCUCAGCAGCACCCAUCUCUCCUCCCCUACCUUUCUACAUCUUCCUAGGUGGCAAAUGGAUGAAAGGAUUGACUUCUUGGCCCUUUAGCAGCGGAAUAACAAUUGUUUCCCAUCUCUUCUUUUCUUCCCAACUCCUCCCCUUUCCCCAUCCUGGGAAGUUAAGUUUCUUCCACUGAGGUCUUCCCCUAUAAUCCCAGAGGCCUCUUCUUUUCAGUCCAUCUACAGUCAUUAACAAAUUGAGAAUUUCUCCAGAGCUUAAAGUUUGACUCUCUGGAGCUGGGAACAGAUAGUGCGAAUGAUAAAAACAAAACAAAACAGCCUCCCCGCCCACCCAAACAGCUGUCACCAAUCACACUCUCCAAUCCUCAGGGGGAUCCGUUGAGCUUACUAGAGUGAAGGAUCAAUCUCGAGUUGCCCUGGCAACAGUAAUCAGCUUUGAGAACAUCCUCCUGGGCUGUUUGGAUGCACGGAAAGGAAAAAGCAGGAUGGGGAGCAAAGGUUUGUUCUCCCCAUGUUUUGAGAAGUCCCUGCACAGCAGUUCACUGUGUUCAACAUGAGGAGUACUUGUGGAUCUCACAGCAUGAAAAGCGUCUGCUGUGAUGAGAUUGAUUUCACUUAAGAGGCCCUUGAAAUACACAUGCACACCCUAAAGUUUUCAAGGACGUUUAUCAGGAGCCAAAUUUCCAUGGGGAGUUGGAAAUCAAUUCUUCAACAGCAAACUCCAACCCUGUCAGUUGCUCAGAUCCGCAUCCCUCAUUCUAGGUUGGAAAAUGAAAGAAUCUCCUGAAAUCCACAUUGGGAGAGUAAGAUGUGGUUGUCAGUGAAGACAAGAAGGCAGGGUUGUCCACCCCCAUCCCACACACCCUCAUUGAUUCCAGCUUUAGCUCUGUGCAAGUUUAUUUUUUAAAAUGUGGAUGCUCCAUUUUCAGAGAGUGAUCUAAAAAUACACUCCUGCAUGCCUGUGGCUGUGAUGUGUAUAUAAAUCCAAAACCUCAGAAUAGAGUGGAUUACACUGAGAAGCAGAUAGACCAAAAAGCAGAACAGGAUGAUUCCUUCUACCUUCUGUGUCAGGAGGCGGCACUCAUGGCAUUAAGCACAUCAAAUGUUGUCAGAGUUGAUUUCAUGAAUAGGUUUCUGUGAGAAGUAACUUAAAGGACACGGAAGAAGACUGUUUUCCAGGUGUGAUCCCAUAUUGCCAUUCUUCUCUGCCCAAAAUGACAUUUUUGAUAAAACUAAAAUUGUAAGAAUAAAAGCAAACAUUGAUUAAGGGUGUUCCAUGUAAGAAUAAAAGCAAACAGUAAGAGUGUUCUAUGUACUGGUGUGAUCAGACCCCCUGCCCGGAGGUGGCUCUUCUCUCUCUCAGUCUCUGUACAUCCCCUGCUGGAUCAGUGCUUGCUUCACCUACACCUUACUCACACCACUGACUUUCCUAUAUACUUGCCCCCACCCCAGUUAGUGAUUGUUCUAACCCUUAGAUCAGAACAUCUCCACCUGAUUGCUGAUCAAAUGGGUAGUGAGAGCGUGCCCCUCGGCCAGUUUCCCUGGUAACCAAUGAGCCAACCAAUGUCAAUUCCCCCUCUAACUGGUAACCUCCCCCUCCCUCCAGGAGCUGCCCUGUCCCGCCUGCUGCCUGCCUGGUACGGUAGACUGUUGUUGUUUUGUGGCUGGAGUGGGAGCUGUCAUGUCCCGGGGCCUGCAGGCGUCCUUAACAUGGACUCACCGCCAAGUGAGGGUUCUUGGCUUCUCGACAGGGGGAAAGAAUUCAAGAGCCAGCCAAGGAAAAGCAAAGGAUGUGGUCUAUCCUGGAGAAUGUUCCAGGUACACUUGAGAAGAAGGUGUAUUCUUCUGCAUUUGGAUGGAAUUUCCUGAAGAUAUCAAUGAGAUCCAUCUCAUCUAAUGUAUCAUAUCAAGUUCAAGGGAAGUAGUGAUGCUCAUUGUCCUUGUAGGAGUUCACAUGGUAUGAAGAAGCGCUGUGGGAAGAGUCUAUCAGUAGCCACCACUGUCAGUAGUCUUGGGUACUCUGGAUGACUUUCUCCUUCAGCAGCACUACCUCCAAGCAGGUCCUGAGGAGACCAGUUGCAUUCGGCGUGAACUGGACACAACAAGAAUCAGGAAUCAUCCCAGGAGAAUGAAAAUAUGGAGAUCUUUUAGCCUACAACCUCAUGUGGCAAAAAGCCUGUUAUUGCUGCAGGUACUAAAGAAGAACGAAAUGAUCUCAAGCUAGGUCAUAAAAGAGAGAAAUCUAGGAGAUGGAGAACCUGGAGCAUUUAGCUUUUAUUGACACAUGGCUCAGCUUUUCAAUUGUAUCAAAUUCAAAGCAAUAAACACUCAUCCGGUGUCCAUCUCCCCAAGGUGCUCCAGGAGGCAUGGAGAGGCGGAGAGGAAAAAACACAGCAGGAAAGCCUCCAUAUACAUGUGGCCAUGCUUUGGGGAGAAAACCCAAGUGCACGUUGGUUAGGGCUAUAAGAUAGGAAUGUACAGUGUGCUGUGGGAACACAUACAGAAGCAUUUUAUUCUGCCUGGAGGGUGCCUGGGAAGCUUGGCGCCGAAUGACCGGACUGUCCCUGGCAAUAUGGAUUAAUAAGGCGCUAACUUUCAACCUUUUCUAAUUGAGACUUACAGUUCAAAAUUAUUUUAUAUGCCUAUUCUAAACACACAAACCCAUGCACAUGUACUUAAGUGUUACAAAAUAAUACUCUGUGAGGCACCCUUGUGUUUUGUUUUUUUUCCUUUCAUUCUGUUUUUAUUAUUGUAGAUGCUGGUUGAAACCCAUUUAACUGAGCAACCUUGAUCAAUUAAUGAAUUGGGAUCUCAACUUACAAAAUUCUGGAAUAAAGCAUGGUCUUUGAAGUGACACAAAACUGUUUUUAAAUCUCAGCAUGUGCUGUGUUGUGCUUAGUCACUCAGUCAUAUCCAACUCUGUGACCCCAUGGAUUUGGGCAGUUUGUUUAACUUUUAUGAAUUUGAGAUUCCGUGCCUAUAGAAAAAUCAUAUGUGGCUACUCUCUACCAGACCAGAAUUAAAG
ensembl:lncRNA